AGAGUUUGAUCCUGGCUCAGGACGAACGCUGGCGGCGUGCCUAACACAUGCAAGUCGAGCGAAGUGUUUAAAGAAGAUCCCUUCGGGGUGAAACUUUAAAUAUCUUAGCGGCGGACGGGUGAGUAACGCGUGAGAAACCUGCCUUUCACAAAGGGAUAGCCUCGGGAAACUGGGAUUAAUACCUUAUGAUGUUUCAUCUUAGCAUUAAGAAGAAACCAAAGCGUAAAGCGGUGAAAGAUGGUCUCGCGUCCCAUUAGCUAGUUGGUGAGAUAAAAGCUCACCAAGGCGACGAUGGGUAGCCGGCCUGAGAGGGUGAACGGCCACACUGGAACUGAGACACGGUCCAGACUCCUACGGGAGGCAGCAGUGGGGAAUAUUGCACAAUGGAGGAAACUCUGAUGCAGCGACGCCGCGUGAGCGAUGAAGGCUUUCGAGUCGUAAAGCUCUGUCCUAGGGGACGAUAAUGACGGUACCCUAGGAGGAAGCCCCGGCUAACUACGUGCCAGCAGCCGCGGUAAUUC
rnacentral:rRNA from 1 species